rnacentral:scRNA from 14 species
GUGUUCUGGUUCUGAGCAAGAUAAUCUGGACUGGUUGAGAGGUAUCUGGUCCAGAUGGACAACAGAAUACCAUGAUUUGAUUUUCAGUGUAACU